rnacentral:lncRNA from 1 species
CCCUUUUUCAUAAUGGACCUUGCUUCCCCCACUUACAUUAAGUCCGCUCCAGGCCUACGUUUUAUGGCCCAUCUGUGUUCAUAUUUGUAUUGCAAGCGUAUAAAUGGGUCGUCCUAUGCCAUUGGCAGUUGGUUGUCGUCUUCUUCCUCUAUUCUAGUGUCUUUUCGUAUGUUGGUGAUGACUAACGAUUGUGGUUCUCACAUUGCCUUCAAAUUGAAAGACAUUGGUCUCAACUUUUUUGGGUCGUAGUUGACGCUUCGAAUUUGUCCACUCAGCUAUUUUUCCAGUGAAACCCAUUUUUGGUUAAACAUAGUGCUAUUCUCAUCCAAAAUUUUACUACAGUACUCGUCUGCCUUGGUCCUUACUAAGUUUAUUUUAAUUUUAAGGUCCUUAGAAAUCUAACCUCAAAUGGGGCAUUCCAUGCAUGAGAAGCGGAUCCGCUACGUCUCGGGUGAACCUUCUGACUUCUGUCACAUGUACGCACCCUGUAUGACUUCUAAACUCCAACUUCUUCUUGGUUUUAGAGUCCGAGUCUUGACCAUAUUAUCAUGCUUGCAGCUCGGUUCAUGUUACAAUCCCCACUUCUUUUGACAUUCUGCUCCAGAAGAUUCCUUAGUUACUGGCAGAGGUUUUAGACAGAAGGAAAAGAUGGUAAAAACUUGACUGGCAGAUUAACAUUCGUAGGAUUAGAUUAUCAUUCCUAGUAAAAUUUGGACUACAAAUCCUUGUAAUGGGUCUUGCGUCUAAUACUGAAGUUGAUGUAAGAGAGUUUCCCAAAAAAAAAAGGUUUCUUACAACACUUAAGAUAUUGAAACUCGUAAUGAAACAAGAAUACGAAAGUAAAUCCUGAUGUAACUGAGUUUUCUGUAGCUGGAAAAAGUGACUUAAGCUAAAAUUUCUUUUAGAUUUUUUCUUGAUUGUAGAUUUUAUCCUACAACAUUCAACUUGAUUGAUAAAGAAAGUCCGCGCUUCUUUAUUCUUAAUGUAGCAAAGUCGAGCUUUGUGUAAAGGUCAUUUGUCUCAACUGGGUUCUAAAGAACUCAAGAUAAUAAUACGUUAAAGUAUCUGCAUUAUUGGAAAAAAAGGUUGAUGUAUCUGGUAUAUUUCUGGCUUAACAUUGUCCCCUGAAUACAGGUUUCUCAAUGUUAUCAAGCAAUUUUUAUGCUUGUCAUUGUUGAAGAACAGUGCAUUAUCUGUGAUGACGAUCUUUCAACUUCUUUGUUCAAUAUUCAAGAACUUAUUAUCAAAAUAUAGAUCUGGGUUGAAAUCAGAAAUUGGAAUCUUUUUCCCCAUGCUCAUCUUACGUGUGCUGGAGAAUGUGCUUCAGCCUAGUUUCUUGCAGAAGAUGACUGUUUUGAGUUUGCUGGAGGAGGUAUCAAAGGAUCCUCAGAUUAUCAUUGAUGUCUUUGUCAAUUAUGAUUGUGAUGUCGAUGCUCCCAACAUUUUUGAAAGGUACUUUUUGUUAGUUGUGCUCUACUUUUUGCUAUGACUGUAAUUUAUGUCCUCUAGUAUGUGACCAAGUAAACUUUGAAGAAGAACAAUCAUAUAUUUCACUAAUGGCGUAUUUGGAUUAUAUUUUGUAAUUGUUUGUUUCAUCAGUCGUAGACACUGCUGCAUUCAUUUUACGAGCUUCUUAGUUGAUUGUUGAGAUUUAUUCUGAUGUUGCAUUCAUUUUUCAAGAUUCUUAGUUGAUUUUGAUGUUCACAGUAAAAAUCCAGAGUCGAGGUCCUUGAGUUUUAUUAUGUUUUUGGUUGGACUUUAGAGUAUAUGAUGGAUUCUUUAACUGAAAAAGGUUAUAGUAGAAUGUUUCUCUUUGUUGUUAGGUAUGAACCAAAAAUCCAAGUAUGAGAUACAACUUGAUCUCCAAGUCUAAUAGUUUUGACUCGGUUUAGACUUGUCCCAAGUUUACUUAGUUUCCAAGAAAUUAUUCAUCUCAGAAUCUUGUUGUUCUUAUGUAUACUAGUAAUAAUAACUUCAUUUAGUUUGUGUGGUGGAUAUGAUAUAAACACACUUCCCAUAUUAACCUCAAACUAUUUGCCGAUAGUGUUGGCUCUAACAGGAGGCAAAGGCGAAGGGGGCAUGCACCUCUCAUAUCCGAGUCACAUGGCUAAGAGUGAUGGACUUUGGGAAUAGAAUGGUGCAAUGGUGAGGUAGUUAUUAAAAGGAAUAUUGUCUUUCCAAAUGGCUAGCAAGAUGAAAUUCCUAAGAAGGGAUAAUUGAAGGUUGAACAAACAGGUUUAUGGAUGGGCGAACGGUAAAUAAGAUUGCUAAUGCCUAUCUUGGAGGAAUUAGAGAGUAGAUAGGGGAGAUAGUUAGAUUGCGGAGGAGAAAAUGGAGUUGGCAAUAGUCCAGGAAACUUCAUGGAGGCAAAAACCAAAGAAGCUUUGGUAUCAGAGCUUUAGGCGAGAGACUAGUUGUUGUGCAAUCACCCGCAACAUACAAGUGAUAAACUCCCUUGCCGUCAAUGUUGUCAAAGGCGACAAAAAAAGGCGCAAUGAAGGAAAGAAAUAAAUAUAUAUGUAAUUCAAGGAAAAAAGUUAAUAAAUUCACUCAUGAUAUUUUCCUUAGUAACUAAUACACUUGUUUGUCGAUUACUAUUCUUGUUUAAUAAUGCCCAAUUUAAGAUAACAAAAUAAGUGCACACUUUAGUGCCUUGGUACACACACUGAAGUGCAACUUGAGCAAGCGAAGCGCCCUGUCACGCACCUCCUCGUGCCAAGGAGACUCCUUUUCAUUGUGUACCCACCUCGGGGUACCCACUGCCCGAAACCUUGUUAUGCACCUCCAUGUGUGCCCCAGUGUUAUCAAAGGCGAAAAUCGUAAAAAACCUUUAAGAUCUGUUGGGGCUUUAAGCGCGAAACGCAAGUAAAGCGAAUGAAGAAAGGCGCAAAUGAAGAAAACUACAAAUAUNNNNNNNNNNNNNNNNNNNNNNNNNNNNNNNNNNNNNNNNNNNNNNNNNNNNNNNNNNNNNNNNNNNNNNNNNNNNNNNNNNNNNNNNNNNNNNNNNNNNNNNNNNNNNNNNNNNNNNNNNNNNNNNNNNNNNNNNNNNNNNNNNNNNNNNNNNNNNNNNNNNNNNNNNNNNNNNNNNNNNNNNNNNNNNNNNNNNNNNNNNNNNNNNNNNNNNNNNNNNNNNNNNNNNNNNNNNNNNNNNNNNNNNNNNNNNNNNNNNNNNNNNNNNNNNNNNNNNNNNNNNNNNNNNNNNNNNNNNNNNNNNNNNNNNNNNNNNNNNNNNNNNNNNNNNNNNNNNNNNNNNNNNNNNNNNNNNNNNNNNNNNNNNNNNNNNNNNNNNNNNNNNNNNNNNNNNNNNNNNNNNNNNNNNNNNNNNNNNNNNNNNNNNNNNNNNNNNNNNNNNNNNNNNNNNNNNNNNNNNNNNNNNNNNNNNNNNNNNNNNNNNNNNNNNNNNNNNNNNNNNNNNNNNNNNNNNNNNNNNNNNNNNNNNNNNNNNNNNNNNNNUUCCUUAUAUGGCUUGGGCAAUCCUCACCUCAUAAGCUAGCUUUUGGGGUUGAGUUAGGCCCAAGGUCCCUUCUUUUCACAUACCAAAUAUACGAACAAAUUAAUUGAAGAAAAUUUAUGAUAAAGUAAAAUAUCAAUUGUUAGUAUCACCUAUUCAUGAUUACGCUCAUUGGCAAGGAAAAGUAUGCCAUAGAGCCUUGAUGACAAUACUGAAGUGUCCGCUAAGCGAGGUGAAGCGCUCAACAUGUUUUGAGCCUCACUUUCAGGGCUUAGGCGCGCCUUUAAUAACAGUGUAGUGUUACCAUCCAAAAUCCCACCAACUCAUGAUGGCACCUAAACCGACUCGCUAGGUAAGCCAACCAACAUUUAACACAGCUCAGGCGAAAGAUCAUCAAAUACAUAAUAAAAUAAGAAUGCGAAAAUUAAUUCAAAUAUCCCCAAAAACUGGUAUACAAAUCAUGAGCCGCUAAGAUUAAGAAGUACAACAUUGGUGUGAAGAAAAUAUAUUAUCUGUUUGGAGUUUACAUAAACAGAAAUAUAAGUCCUACACUACCAUGAACAAAUGGUAACUUCAAGCUUGUAACAGGAACACUGGUACAUAUCAAAAUGAUAGCCUUUGACUUCCAUAGCAGCUCGACUCCAAAAUUUGCAAAUAAGGUGUAGAAGUGUAGUAUGAGUACAACCGACCCCAUAUACUCAGUAAGUAUCAGGAUUAACCUCAACAAAGUAGUGGCGAGGUUUAGUAAAAGAAUACUCACUUUAUAUAACCUUUGCAGCCUCAUAGGCAUACACAAUAACAGAGGGAAUAGUCAAGAAAUAGUCAAAGAACAAGAACAACAAAUAUCAGUAGUAAGGUGCUCAAUCAAAGAGGAAGGUGAUAAGCAUGCCUUUUCAAUUAACAAGUCAAAGCAAAUACAAAUGCACUUUGGCAUACAAAAGAGAUGCACCAAGUAAUGUUUACUCGAAUAUUUUUGUAUGAAUGUAGAGUGUCUAUGCAUGAUAAAGUCUAAAUUACAUAUCAAUUACCAAUUGACAUUUAUUCUUAUGCUUCUAUAUGAGUCCAAAAUGUCCUUGCAUGAUCUCAUGCCAACAUUAUGCAAAAUAUAGAGUACUAGAAGUUCUAUAUUUCCUACUAGCAUAAUAAUCUCUAAUAGAGCUAAAAAACUCAUAACAUAAUGCCUCGAUAGCACUUCUUCAUUUCAACCAUCUAAUUUUGAUUAUUUUUGUAUCAUCUUCACAUAUCAUUCAUUCUCUUUGACCAACGAGCCUAAAUAUCUGAAUUUACAUUUAGAUACCACAAUCCCUUCUAAUCUCACCUGAACUUCGCAUUUCUUAUGCUAGCUAAACUUGCAAUGCGUAUAUUCGGUCUUACUUCUGCUUAUCCGAAAACUCUUACUCUCUAGAGUGCUUCUCCAUAGUUCAAGCUUUGGGUUGACACCCUCAUUAGUUUAGUCAAUUAGGACAAUAUUAUCAGCAAAUAGCAUAUGGGGAAUCAUCUUGUGCUGUGUUGGAAAAAAUUUCUCUCCAUUAUCUGAGCUUCUAUCUAUCAAUAAUAUUGGAAUCUAGAAUCGUCGGGCAUUUUCACUUGCAUUUCCUCUCUCUUAUCUGUGUUGUUCACAAUCUCUAAGGAGUUUUCCUUAUGCUGCUUCUAUCUGGAAAUCUAAGGUUCUAUUGAAAAUUGAGGCUUAUGUGUCCCUUUGCUGCCUGAAAGCUUAACACCUAUAAGCUGUUACAAUUAAGAAAACCUUACUAAUUGGAUGAAAGUACAUAUUAGGCGAUUGCGCCUAAAAUAAACUAUAAAGUUACUCUCUUUUUAAUUUGUCCCCAGGGCUUUGAUCUUGUGGAGUGCAAUGCGUGAUGUGUGUUAGGCAGACCUUGAAAGUACAUAUUAGGCGAUUGCACCUAAAAUGAACUAUAAAGUUACUCUCUUUUUAAUUUGUUCCCAGGGCUUUGAUCUUGUGGUAAGAGUGCAAUGCGUGAUGUGUGUUAGGCAGACAUCAUGGGUUCGAACCCUGCUGCAUAGAGAACUCUGAUAUUUAAGUCGAGAAAGGUUGUCUAUCGAGUUUUGAACCGUUUGCCACUGGUUUCUAGGGAUUUCUCGGUUACAUAAAAAAAAGAGUAUUUUUCCUUAAAAAUAAUUAGCAGUUGUAUAUGUUGAGAAUAUAGUGUAUAAAUAGGCAUUUCUUUAUCAAAUCAUCAAUACAUCUCUCUCAUAUUUUCCGUGUCGGAUAUCAGCUGUAGGAUGAAUAUCUUAUUCUCCCAUAGUUCGAUAACAAAUAUGAACUCAACCUUAAGAUCAAGAGUACGGUUGUGUCCUUAGCUCAUUGGCGAUUUUGAACAAAAUAUUGUGAUACUGUUGUAUGCCAAGAGCUUGUGAACAUAACUAUUUAAACAGUCGCUAUUAAUGAGACAGGAAGCCGACCUCCUUAUCCUUGCUUGACUCUCUUUUGCAGCAAUGCACAUGCUUUUUUGCUAUUGUAUUAUGCUGUUAUUCAUAUAUGUUUCCUGUCACUGAAUUCUUAUGUUAUUUUCAUCUAAAUUGAAUUAAAACGGCUUUAAUUCCAUCAGAUAUUUGCAGGACUGUUAAUGGUCUUCUUAAAACUGCUCUUGGUCCACCUCCUGGUUCCACUACUACAUUGUCUCCAGUCCAAGAUAUUACAUUUCGUUCUGAAUCAGUGAAAUGCUUAGUUACAAUUAUAAAGUCAAUGGGGACGUGGAUGGACCAGCAACUAAGGGUAGGGGAGCCCAAUCUAGAUAAGGUGUCCGAUCAUGAAGUGCCAGAAGCUGCUACCAGUGUUAGACAACUGAAGGUAGGGGAGCCCAAUCUAGAUAAGGUGUCCGAUCAUGAAGUGCCAGAAGCCGCUACCAGUGUUAGUGAAGAGGGAAAUAUUAUUGACUACGAGCUGCAUCCGGAAGCAAAUUCUGAAUUUUCUGGUGCUGCUGCCUUGGAACAGCGCCGUGCUUAUAAAUUAGAAAUACAGGUUUAUCAUCUUUGUUUGCACAUUCCACUAUCUUCAUUCUCUGCUUUCAUUCACUUCAUGGUACUUGAGGUAUGGUUAAGUACUGACAACUCUAAUGAAUCAAAUGCAGAAAGGUGUUUCCCUGUUCAACAGAAAGCCUUCAAAGGGGAUUGAUUUUUUAAUGAGCACCAAAAAGCUUGGGAAUUCCCCAGAAGAUGUAGCCUCUUUUCUGAAGAACACGACCGGAUUAAAUCCAUCCACUAUUGGUGAUUAUUUGGGUGAAAGAGAGGAGUUCCCUCUGAAAGUUAUGCAUGCAUAUGUCGAUUCUUUUAAUUUUGAAGGUAUGGACUUUGGUGAAUCAAUCAGAUAUUUCCUUAGAGGGUUUAGAUUACCUGGUGAAGCUCAGAAGAUUGACCGUAUAAUGGAGAAGUUUGCGGAGCGCUAUUGUAAAUGCAACUCAAACUCUUUUACCAGUGCAGAAACAGCUUAUGUGCUUGCUUACUCUGUGAUAAUGCUCAACACAGAUGCACACAAUAGCAUGGUGAAAGAUAAGGUACCCUGGGAAUCUCUCUGAAGUGUUUUUCUCCUAGGUGUAUGAUCCAGUGCGUGUUUUCUUAAAUUCUCCCAUUAUUGUCUGCUACUUCCAUUCAUUUCUACCCUUAGGGUGAAACAAGUUACAUGAAUUAAUAAUGCAUGGAUCGAAAAUUUGGGAAAAUUUAAUUACCAAAAAAAGUUAAAAUAAUACAGGGAUUGUAAUAUGGGGUUUAUUCCUGGUUAGUUUGUUAUAUUACAAAUUAGUACACAAUCUAUGAUUUAAAAUGAGUUUUACUUUUUCAACAAAAUAAAAGUUUUCUACUAUUAUGAGGGUUAGUUUUGUAAUUUAGUGCUUAUAUUCAUGUAUUACCGAUGGCCACAUUCUUACUUCACACUCUUUUCCACGUGAAAUAAUAAUAGCUUUCCAGAACAACUUAUGCAAGUAUUAUUUAUGGAAAGAAAAAGUAGCAACCAAAUAUUGUAUCAGUUAAUGUGGAAUUGUGUGCAGAGGUUAAGGACCUGUUUGUCCAUACAGAAAUUUUCCUUUUUUCGAUUCUUUUUAUUUUUUUUACCAAAACUUGUUUGGUUAUACAUUGGAUUGAAUUUUGAAAAAAAAAAAUUGAAGAUGGGUUUCCAAAUUUGAAAAAGAGGGUUUUACCACUUUUUCAUGUAAAAUUUCAUUUUUCCUCUCAAAACGGCAAUAUUUUCAUUUCCAAACACAGUUUCAAGUUCCAAAUCUUUUUUCAACUACAAAAAUUACUUUUUUUCAUAAAUCACAAUUUUUAUGUUGAAACGCCUACUAAAUCUCCUCACUAACCAACCAAAUGACUAGCUUACUGGCUUGUUGAACUGUGCCACCCGAUCACAUAGAUUAGUUCAUAAAAUACAACUUAUUAAACUGUAGUUCUUUUGCAAUGGGCCAGAGCUCAAAGUUAGUACUGUAGUCAUUGCAAAAUAUUGUCCUUGAACAAAUAUAUUCUUAUUCGAGUGGUUGGUAUUGAAUUUGUCUAUGUUUUCUUGAGGAUGACAAUAAGAAAGAAAAAUAUGUCCAGUAUAUAAGUUUCCAAUAAUAUUAUUAGUGGCCGUAUUGGACAAGGAUUAGAGUAUAAGAGUUGUGAUUUAUGACUAUGAGAAGAGCUCAAAACCAAUAUUGAAUAAAAGACAUAAUGUGCUUGAGAGUUGGCUAUAUAUACACCUUGAACUUUUUUGAGCUUAUCACAUUCAUUGUUGUUUUUAGGAGAAUUGUGUAAUGGUUGAUUGAAGGUGCCACAUGCACAUCUCAGUAGCUUUCAAUCUGGGGUGUCUGUUAUUCAUUCACUCUCUCACUCAUUCCAUUCUUUGGUAUUAACAACUUAGCCAAUUUUGGAGACAAAAUCACUAGGCGAUUUCUUCCCAUUUGUACAAGCCUUCAUGGACAGAGUUAUCCGUUACUUCUACUGGUUGGAGGUAGCAGGUGCUCCAUAGAGGUGCACGCAAGCUGGCCCAGACACCACGAUUAUAAAGAAAACAAAAACAACUUAGCCAAUUUACCCUGCUGUCAGCUUAAUGUAGUGAAAGAUCAAUAGAGACUGCAAAUUUGACAUUCUAGGAAUAGGUUAGAUAGUACAUAACAUGCAACACGGUAAUGGCGAACCCCAAUAGAUAAAAGGACUUUUCAAGCCUCUUGUCCUUAUGAGUUUUUACUCGGCAUUAAAGUAUAUAAUAAGAAUUCUAGUGAAUGAAAAAUAAUGGAGUAAUAUAAAUAAAACCCCCGAAAUGAGAUGGUUAGUGAUUUUGUGCAUAUAAAUUCAUAGCUAUACUGACAGCUGAGAAUUUGAGUAAAGAGGAUAACAUAUGCCAACAGGUGCUUCAAGUGCAAAUGUCUAGGUGAAGAUGUGGACUACCUCCUCCUACAUCAUUGGGUGACAACUUGCUUGUGUUUUGAGAUGGUUCGGGAUGCAGUAGGCAAUGUCGGGCACAAUGGAAGAGGCACUGGCCAGUGGGGAAUUCAGAAGGAGAAACAGAACUUGAAGAGUCGGGAAUGUUGCCUCACUAGCACUUAUAGGACAGAAAACAACUAUGUGCAUUUGAGGAAUAGCCUCUCCUUCCUAGUUUCUUUUAAACUUACCAAUAGAAGAUUGAGUGUCAUUCUUAGAGAAUCAUAUUAUGUUGUAGAUUCUCUACUUUUUUGUAUAUUGCUAGUAUACGGGAGAUUUUCCCAUUAGUAUUAAAAUUAUUUCCUUAUGAAAAAGAUCCAUAGUAUAUGGAAGAUGGCGUAAAACGUUCAAGGAUAGUGAUGCUUAGCUAAAAUAAGCUCAAAAGGUCAAAUUGUGUCAAUGUGUAUGGACUAUAAGAAUUUAAAACCUUGUAAAGCUAUAUUUGAAUGAAUUUGCUACUACCUUAAUUAACAGUAUUUUUAGUUGAACCUUUACUACAAAACUAAAGUUAUUUCUUUAUAACGUAUAAAAGUUGGAAUUCUACAUGUAAUAGAUUCUGUUUGUGAAUAUGAAUUUAGAAAUGAAGACUUCUAAAAAGUUUUCCGUAUUUGUGAUUUUUAUAUUAUAUUAACAAGAAUGAUGUCCCUUAUCAAAGGGAAUAUUAAGAAAAGUUAUAUCAAACCAGAUAGAGCUUCCCAGUGAAUGUUAAAUAUCAUUCUGUUAGCUUAUAAUUAAUUAUCUUGUAUUAGGAAAUUCAACGGCGAUCUGGAGUUUUGCAUGAAAGGAUAGUGUACAAGUCACGGAUAAUGUACAAGUAACGGAUAUGAGUUACCAAUUGUUUUUGAUAUUGACUGAUAUGGGUUACCAAUAGUGCUGCAACCAAUUAUGGGGGAGGCAACAUCUUCAUUUUCCGGUAUUUGAGACUUUGAGAGCACAUGGUUACUGGGCUGGGGAGUAUCUUUUUUGUCUGUUUUAGUCUUUUACAUUUAGUCUAUGCACUUGGUCAUCUUAACGUAGUUACACAUGUAGAUGUUACUUGUAAAAUAAUGUGAUUGGUUUUCUUCGGAAUUAACUGUUGUAUUUCUCCAUUUAGAUGACAAAAGCUGAUUUCAUCCGGAACAAUCGAGGGAUUGACGAUGGGAAGGACUUACCUGAGGAUUAUUUAGGUGCUCUCUAUGACCAAAUACAUUGACGAUGGGAAGGACUUACCUGAAAAUUAUUUGGGGGCUCUCUAUGACCAAAUAGUGAAAAAUGAGAUAAAGAUGAAUGCAGAUUCUUCUGUGCCACAAAACAAGCAGGGUAACAGUCUUAAUAAGCUUUUGGGUUUGGAUGGUAUACUGAAUCUAGUAUGGAAACAGAGAGAAGAACAACCACUGGGUGCCAAUGGGGUUCUUGUGAGGCAUAUUCAAGAGCAGUUUAAAGCAAAAUCUGGAAAAUCAGAGUAAGAUUUAAUUCCACAUGUUGACUUUUGAAUCUACUUUCUGGCUGCAUAUGUACCAAUUGUCAGACGAUAGGAAUCUGACUCUUUCUUUAUCAUCUGCGUACGGAUUGAUAUUUUAUUUCGAUGAGUCGCUGCAGUCUGUAGUAUUGCGAAACUAUCACAUAUACGGACUAUUGAAAGAAUUGUGUGCCUUAUAGUCCCCAUACAUAUGAUUUAGUUUUCUCAAGCUGGCCUCAUAUGUCUUCUUAUCAUGGAUUUUCUUGUUCAGAUGGAAAAGAACGCAUAAAAUUAUAUUAUGUCCUGUUGCAGGUCUAUCUAUUAUGUCAUUGCAGAUCCAGCUAUACUGAGAUUUAUGGUGGAAGUCUGCUGGGGUCCCAUGCUUGCUGCUUUCAGUGUCACCCUAGACCAGAGUGAUGAUAAGAAUGCCACUUCUCAAUGUUUGCUGGGGUUCAGGCAUGCUGUGCACAUUACAGCUGUGAUGGGUAUGCAGACGCAGAGAGAUGCUUUUGUCACAUCUAUGGCAAAGUUCACUUAUCUUCAUUGUGCUGCAGAUAUGAAACAAAAAAAUGUUGAUGCAAUGAAAGUAAUUUCCAUCUCCCUCAAUUUCUGUCAUGUCAGUUUACCAUCUUAUGCUCAGACGGUAGCUAACUUGCAACAAAUGAAGAGUAACCCUACAUAAUAAUACACGCACGCCACAUACCUUCUUUUUCUAUGAAGUAAAAUAAUUAUAUUAAUAUGGGAAAAUUUCUGUAUACAACAAGUGCACCAAAAGGUUGAGAGUAAGCUCCACAAACUACACAUCAUUUUCGCUACAAACAAGAACCUUGUCUAUGCACUAUAAAAGACUAAAAGCAAGAAACUAUUCCUCAGUUGUACAAGUCAUUUUCAAUUCCAUCAAAAGUUCUUCUAAUUUUGGAGGACAAUUCCUUUAUGCAUCUUUUGGACUUUAUAGCUGGAAAGAUACAAGAGAUGCUUUGAAGGGCAAAGAAGACAUAUCUCUAGAAUUAAGAAUAAAUGGCGACAUAAUUUCUAUUUCUGGUGUAAGGCUAGUAUUUUGGAGAUGUAGAUCAAUUUUGGAUUUUAUUGAGAUGCUUGAGAAUUUAUUGUAACUGGCUAUGUUGGAGCCUUCUUUCAUGUAAUUUUGUGUACCAUCUUGGUACUUUAUUAAAUGAAACCCUUACCUUAUCCAAAAAAAAUAUUAAUU